rnacentral:lncRNA from 1 species
UUGUUAUUUAUUUAUUUUUUAUUUUUUUCAAAAUCUCAUUUUAAUAGAGUACAAAUAAGGUAUAUUCAAUCCAUCACUAGAGAAACUUUACUCGACAAACCUUUGUCAGAAGGGGGAAGAUUACAUAGUCAAUCCAACAUCAUUAACAAGAGAAAUUUUAUUCGACAAGCGUGGGCCAAUGUUGUACACAUACGUGUGUCAUAUGUCAUAUGUACCACAACAAAAAAGGACUAGUGAAAAACUCAAGAUGGAUCCCUACACUUUUGAACUCUUAAAGCAAAUAUUGUAAUGGCAUUACAUGGCGUGGGGGGUUGGUAAGGUUGGGAUUUAUAUGGUUUGGUGGAAUAAUUUAAUUCGGGGUGGUAGUUGGUGCACACACUGGAGUAAAAUCUUUCAACACUAACAACCUUAAAGGAACAAUUUUUUCCAUUGUUUAUCGACUCCUAAAAUUGUGAUGCAUAUUCACCUAACAUGCUAUUUGACCUUUAAUUACCAGCAAUCAGCUCUUAUUGUUGGUGGUUAAGGGUGAGUUUCUUUCUCGUCUUGUCCAAAGGGAGGUUGGGGUUUGCCUUCAUCAGGUUUUGAAGUUCAGUUGUUCGAGGGGACUUUGCCAAGGAAUUUUACACAAAACUAGUUGAAGCUAGUCUACAACAGGAUAUAUAAAGAAAUUACUCUAUGGAACAAGAAAACUGCUUCUUAUGGUUAGAGACAUAAUUUUAAGAGGAUCUCCCAUAGAAAGAAAGUGAGUCAGGGAAUACCCCCAAACCAAGAACGGACAUGGAAGACUUUCGAUUCGCUUUCCAUUCUCUUAAAUAUGGGGAUGUCGUCAGGUCCGCAUGAUCUUUUUGGACUGACCUUGGGAGAUAGAUGCUAAAUAUGGGUAGGAAGCAGGAACCUCUAUGUAAAUAAUUUUAUCACCACACCUUCUGUUGAAAAAAUUAACCUUAAAUUGUGAUAUACAUUUAGCACAAUCGAUAAAAGUAUGCACAUCAUCUGUCCUAAAAAACAGCAAACAACUCCCAAGUCAAUUUUAGUCGAAUAAACCUGCUUUCUUAAACAACUAUUUCAUUCUCGCGCUAGGGUCUAAACAAGGGCAAGGUCCCCAACCCUUUACGAAACAACAAGGAGGAUUAGAGUGCACACAUUAGAAAUCAAACCAGCAACAAGAAUAGCAACGCUUAUAACGGAGGGAAGACCAGUAUUUUAAUUAAAAGGUAAAACCAAGAACAUUUCAGACAUGCGAUCUUGUUUUGGGGAGCGCUUCAUCAAACAGACAUGCACCAUCGGAGCUUGAACCAAAAUGGAAAGGACUAUGUGAAGAGGUAAAACCGCCUGGUAAGAGGGCAUAUGUUUUCAAGAUGCCGGGGCAAGCAACUUAGUCGACCUUGGAACGUGAAAAGCUCAAGAAAUAUUAUGAGUAGCGUUAGAACUGUUUUAGUUAGAGCAUACUUUAAGGGCGUCUAUAUUGUCGAGUCUGUACAGUUGUUUUUUAUCAUUCGGUGAAAAGUUGGGUAGCGCAAAUGAUGAGGGUGAUAAGGAAACGCUAGUCUAGUUGGGAUGUCCCGUUGAAUCUACUGAGCUUGCCACAUCCAACUUGCUUUUCGCUUCAAAGUCAUGUCAUACCCUUAUUGAUCCAUGAAGUACCCUACAAUAAUAAGACUCCACCUUGACGGUGUCCAUUAAGUAACACCAAUAAAGUACGUAUCAAGGAUUCCAGAAUAAACCCCCACUCAAUCCAAUCAUAUUCCUUGCUUAUGUUGAGUUUUAGCGAAACAUAUCCGACAUUCCCAGACGUACGCCUCUUCAGUGAGAUUGACAUUCCGUUUAUAUACGGAUAUCGUUAAACAACUAAGGCUUCAAAUUGGAAACUAAAGAAUAAAAAUGGGCAGUCAUUAUCUUAAAAUAGCAGAAAAAAAUGUUGAGCUUUUACAUCAAAUUUGAACCAUCAAGAGCUUACGCACAUAUUUAUUAUUGAGCUUUCUUAGUAUGUAAAGUUUUCGAAGUAUAUUUAUUGUUGAAUGACCUUUUACAUCAAAUGAUUAUGACUGACUUUACAGUGGAGUUAGCUCAAUUAACACCAAUCUUAUAUAAAUCUUGUGUCGAACUAGAUCUUCUUUUUCGAAAUUUGCUUAGAUCAAUGUGUUAAUUUCAACUACAAAAUUGUAUGCUGCAUAAAAUAUGUCAAUAAAUUGCAUUCUGUCACAGUAUUAAAAGUAUAAAUUAACAACAAAUACAUAUAGACAGAUAAUAAUUAAAGAGUAUGCGUUUGUAAAUUUCUUAACAGUUGGCUGACCACGGACUCUCAGUGAAAUGAUUUAUAUGACUGAUGAAUUAGUAGCGAUCGUGUAUGAUUCUAUACUUUGCAGAUACGUAUAGAAGAGUCAGCAGAUUCUUUUAUGAGUAGCUAAGCAAUCAGGUAGUUACCAAGUUUACUUAGCGUCAAGCCUCAAUUAGUUUGGGAAAAUGACUAUUGAGUUUGUGUGGACACUGAAUAACGUUGUUGCAGCAAGUAAAAGGGCGAUAACUGCUCACGCGCUCUCCCUUUUUUUUUUUUUUUUUGGUUCUUUCUUUCAAUUUUGUCUCCACACUAUUUUUUUCAUACACGAAGGCACCCUUCUGUCACCCACUCAACCUCAAGUUUUAUCAGUUACUUUUUCUUGUCCAGUUCUUAUUUAUCAUGAUAACAUGU